CUGGGGACUCUAAUGAAACUGCCUACGCAAGUAGUGAGGAAGGUGGGGAUGACGUCAAAUCAGCACGGCCCUUACGUCCAGGGCUACACACGUGCUACAAUGGCCGGUACAACGGGCAGCUACCUGGUGACAGGAUGCAAAUACUCCAAAGUCGGUCUCAGUUCGGAUCGGAGUCUGCAACCCGACUCCGUGAAGUUGGAUUCGCUAGUAAUCGCGCAUCAGCCAUGGCGCGGUGAAUACGUUCCCGGGCCUU
rnacentral:rRNA from 1 species